GAGUCUUAAACUGUUCCCACGACAUAUUCAGCGCAUCCUCAACAUUCCUGCUGGCAAGCGACCACCAGUGAUGUGCUGAAUCAUCCAGGAAAGUUACUGCCAUCUUCACCUUCUUUUCAUCUGGCAACUCUGUGCUCACAAAAGCUUUUUCCAUUUUGUCCACCCAAGUAUAAGCAUCAAGGGGUCCCUUGGCACCCUUGAACUCUCUGGCUCCAGCUUCAAAAACUUCUCUCCUUUUCACAGAAUGAGGUUGUGGAGCUCGGUCCAUGACAUCCCUCAGCAUAUUUCCAAUAUCAUCAACCAGUCCCCUGACCUCAUUGCCUUCAUCGGCAUUGGUCGAAGUAGCCACACGGGGUUGCCGUGGGCGCCUAGGAGGCAUAGUUCCUGAGGAAGAAGAAAUUUAGUAGUCCAUAAACAAGACUAACACAAUAAUCACAUAUACCCAAUAACACAUAGCAUCAAAAGCAUAAAAUGCCGAUGAAUCCACCGCGGUCGGAUCAUCACUCUAUAGACACUACGUACUACUUGGGCAAAUGUGAUAGUGACAAGGAAGCAGGAAAAGGAAACCUAUAGCUCUGAUACCAACUGACACGACCCACCCCGAGUUUCACCCUGAAACCCAGAGUAAGUCGUGCGGGGACCACCUCCAAGGAAAAUUUACUGAAAAGAUUAAGAAAAUCUCCCUUGUAGAUGGACAACCCUAACUCGAAAAUUUCAUAUUACACUUCUGAACAUCGCAUAAUAUACAAAAAUUCUAAAGUAUUCAGAGCUACUAAACACAAGCGGAAGCAAGAAAAUACGAGUAGGUUGAACAGGCAACCUACUGGCGAAAACUGGCCGAAAAGCGGGUGACUAUGCCUCGUCUCCUACUAGAUCCAACCCGAACUCUGCAGACUGGGCAAUUUAAAACGAAGGGCCCAGGGGAAAACAUUUAAUAACGUUAGAGUGAGUGGACAAAAAUAAAUUAAUAAAUAAAAUAUUUAUGUUUCCCCAAAUUAAUUUCUAAGGAAAAAUCGAAUGCAUGCCGCAAGCGAUAAAACCUUUAUCCCAUAAAAUAUCGAGCCUNNNNNNNNNNNNNNNNNNNNACUGAUUAACUCCAUCCAUCUUCUCUGUCUCAUAUUAAGUUCUCUUUGAGUGAACACAUACCGAAGACUCUUGUGAUCGGUAAAUAUCUGACACUUGGCUCCAUAAAGAUAGUGUCUCCACAACUUGAGAGCAAAAACUACUGCUGCAAGCUCCAGAUCAUGAGUAGGAUAAUUCCCCUCAUGCGGCUUCAAUUGCCUAGAAGCGUAGGCAAUAACUCGAUCAUGCUGCAUCAAAACUCCACCUAGACCACGUCUAGAAGCAUCACAAUAGACCACAUAUUCUCCACUAUCAUCCGGAAGUGCCAAAACAGGAGCACUUGUCAAGCAAUUCUUCAAUUCUAGAAAACUUUGCUCGCACUGAUCUGACCAUUCAAACUUAACCCCUUUUCUGGUCAACGUUGUGAGAGGAGCAGCAAUCUUUGAAAAAUCUUUCACAAAGCGCCGAUAAUAACCUGCUAAUCCCAAGAAACUACGAAUCUCCGUCACAGUGGUGGGUCUUCUCCAAUUCGACACUACUUCCACCUUUUGGGGAUCCACACUAACUCCCUCUGCCGAAAUCACAUGACCCAAGAACCCCACUUUAUCAAGCCAAAACUCACACUUGCUAAACUUAGCAAAUAACUGCGACUUUUCCAAAGUCCGCAAUAUUAUUCUUAGAUGCUUGGCAUGCUCCUUCUCACUUCUUGAGUAAACCAAAAUGUCAUCUAUAAAUACGAUCACGAAACGAUCAAGGUAUGGACUAAACACCCUAUUCAUGAGAUCCAUGAACGCCGCAGGUGCAUUAGUAAGUCCAAAAGGCAUCACCUCAAAUUCAUAAUGACCAUAACGUGAUCAAAAAGCAGUCUUGGCUAUGUCAUCCUCUCGGAUCCGCAACUGAUGAUACCCCGAUCUCAAAUCAAUCUUGG
rnacentral:lncRNA from 1 species